rnacentral:rRNA from 1 species
UAAUACAGAGGGGGCAAGCGUUGUUCGGAAUUACUGGGCGUAAAGGGCGCGUAGGCGGCCUGUUAAGUCGAACGUGAAAUCCCCGGGCUCAACCCGGGAACUGCGUCCGAUACUGGCAGGCUCGAAUUCGGGAGAGGGAUGUGGAAUUCCAGGUGUAGCGGUGAAAUGCGUAGAUAUCUGGAGGAACACCGGUGGCGAAGGCGGCAUCCUGGACCGACAUUGACGCUGAGGCGCGAAAGCCAGGGGAGCAAACGGGAUUAGAUACCCCGGUAGUCCUGGCCCUAAACGAUGAAUGCUUGGUGUAGCGGGUAUCGAUCCCUGCUGUGCCGAAGCUAACGCAUUAAGCAUUCCGCCUGGGGAGUACGGUCGCAAGGCUG